rnacentral:rRNA from 1 species
GACGAACGCUGGCAGCGUGCUUAACACAUGCAAGUCGAACGGAAAGGCCUUUUCGGCGGUACUCGAGUGGCGAACGGGUGAGUAACACGUGGGUGAUCUGCCCUGCACUCUGGGAUAAGCCUGGGAAACUGGGUCUAAUACCGGAUAGGACCGCACUUUAGUGUGUUUGGUGGAAAGUUUUUUCGGUGUAGGAUGAGCCCGCGGCCUAUCAGCUUGUUGGUGGGGUAAUGGCCUACCAAGGCGGCGACGGGUAGCCGGACUGAGAGGUUGGUCGGCCACAUUGGGACUGAGAUACGGCCCAGACUCCUACGGGAGGCAGCAGUGGGGAAUAUUGCACAAUGGGCGCAAGCCUGAUGCAGCGACGCCGCGUGGGGGAUGACGGCCUUCGGGUUGUAAACUCCUUUCGCCAGGGACGAAGCGUUUUGUGACGGUACCUGGAGAAGAAGCACCGGCUAACUACGUG